CACAAGCCGUAACUGCGCAAUUAAAAUCUCCCCAAAACCCCAAACCUUUCCCUUUCAAAAGAUCUUUCACUCUCCAGCCGGACGUGAAAUCGUUUUUUUUUUUUUUUUUUUAUUUACAAAAGAAUAAAAAGAAUCUCAAAGCUCGGAAAUCUCAGUUCUUUCUUUUUUUUUUUUUUUUUUUUGAAUUAGCCCAUGCUUCUUUUCUCCACAUGAUUGCGGCCAUUUGUCCACCACCCCGAACCGCCACGCCGGGCUCCGGAAGGAUUCGAAUUGCGAACCCGAAUCCGAACCGUCACUCGUUUCGCUUUAGUAACUUAGGGUUCCCGCUUUGGAAGCCGAAACUGAACUGGCUAUCGUACGAGCGGAUUCAGCAGAUGCAGAUGGCGUGGGUUCGGAGUAUGAGCGGCGGUUGCUUCAAGAGUACAGAGCCGCCGCCUAAACAGGGGAUCAAAGUCGAAGAAGACAGUGGCGGCCAAGACGUUUUCGACGCUGACGCCAUGGACUCGAAGGUUUCGCCUGAACAUCUGGUCAUCAUGGUCAAUGGCCUCGUUGGAAGUGCUGCUGAUUGGAGAUUUGCUGCAGAACAGUUUGUGAAGAAGCUACCUGACAAAGUAAUAGUGCACCGCAGUGAAUGCAAUUACUCAAAAUUGACAUUUGAUGGUGUUGAUAUGAUGGGUGAAAGGCUAGCCGAAGAGGUAUUGGGUGUUGUUAAACGUAGACCAGAGGUACGGAAGAUUUCUUUUGUGGCUCACUCUUUAGGUGGUCUUGUUGCAAGAUAUGCUAUAGGGAGGCUCUAUGAGCAUUCUUCAAAGUUAGGUCAAUCAGGUCUUUAUGCAAACUCUUUAACGGAAGAGCACACAAAUUCUUCAAUGCUAUAUCUUGAGCAGCCUUGUGAACAUAGAAUUGCUGGAUUGCAACCAAUGAAUUUUAUAACGUUCGCAACACCACAUCUUGGGUCAAGGGGGCAUAAACAGCUCCCAAUUCUUUGUGGUCUUCCUUUUCUUGAGAAAAGAGCAUCUCAGACUGCACACUUGGUUGUUGGAAGGUCUGGAAAGCAUCUGUUUCUCACUGACAGUGAUGAGGGAAAACCCCCGCUUCUCCUUAGAAUGGUUGAUGACGGUGAUGACCUGAAAUUCAUAUCAGCUCUGCAUGCAUUUAAGCGACGUGUGUUAUAUGCAAAUGCAAACUAUGAUUAUAUGGUUGGCUGGAGAACAUCAUCAAUCCGACGUCAGAAUGAACUUCCAAAGUCAAAUCUUCUUGUAAUAGACGAGAAGUAUCCACAUGUUGUAUAUGUUGAGAGGGAAACUACAAACAAGAUCCAAAACAAAGCUUCAUCUAUUGCUGGAGCCCAAACAAGUGAUGUUGAAGAGGUGAUGAUUCAAGGUCUCACUCAAGUACCUUGGGAACGUGUUGAUGUAAGCUUUCAAAAAAGUAAACAACGAUAUGUUGCUCAUAAUACAAUUCAGGUGAAGAGCUAUUGGUUGAAUUCUGAUGGAACAGAUGUGGUUUUCCAUAUGAUCGACAAUUUCCUUCUCUAGUCCUGGAAAACUUUGGUGUCAGCCUGUUAGUGAUUCAGAAAUGGGUUAGGUCACUUAUUUUUUGGUUUGAUAUGCACAUUGUCCCAAAUGAGAAUGUUGCAGUGUAUUUUUAUGUUAAAUAUGGAAUCAUUAAGGACAUUGCAAAGUUGUUGUGUCCUAUGUCCAAAUAGGUUCUCUUAUUCUUAUAUCCCAUAUGUAUAUUACAUUUCUUUUGUUAUGAUACUGCUAAUUUAUUUUCUAUUUAGAAAUGAAACUUUCUUCCUUCUAAUUAUAUUAUUGUUCACAUGUUUUAUGUACAUUGGUUGCUUUGCCAUUACUUUUUGAGUCAGAAAUAUGCAUUUUUGCUCAAGCAAUUGAGUAUGCCUUAUACCAGACUAUUCUGAUCACUAAUUCUUUUGAGAACACAUUUUAUUCAGUAAUUGCAAUUACAUAUUGAUAUUUGGCUUCAUUAUUCAUCAGUUUGCCCAAGUUUUCUGUUUGGCAACGUGUGAUGGAUGGUUUGUGCUACUACAUAUUGAGUCACAGAUUAUGACAUUCUUUUCUAUUAAAUGGCUGAAGACCCCAACCCAAGUUGCAAGCCAUGCUCAUAAGUUUUUCUUACGCAAAACUCUACUGAGAAAUUCUCAUCUGCCCCAAUCAUCGAUCCUCAAUUUGGAUUCAAUGUUACAUAGCUAGCUAGCUAUCUACCAUGGAUCAAUAUUUGGAUGAGGAUUGCUAGCAACAGGACUCAUCUCAGCUGUAGGUUGAAGCCUUGAUCCAGAUCGUGAGACAUCAUGAGAAUCACGGAUGAUGUAUUUUCGGACAAGCCUUCCCAAAAU